rnacentral:lncRNA from 1 species
GAACUUUGGUGGGAGCUUUGGUUCGGCUGGGACCUGCGCCCUGAAUGAAGGCUUCCCUGGUACCCCCUGCCGAUCCGCGGUCUUGGGGACCUGCGCGUCCGAUAGCGCGUGCUCGAAGAGGAGAGGCAACCUCAGCUCCAGGGGGUUUGAACCGACCCACUUUCAGUUACGAGUAAACUGAGACCAGAGAGCAGAGGGGGCUUAUUUCCCUCUGCCCCAUACUGGCCGGCGAAAGGGCAAGUCACACAGAGCAGGCGACCUUUUUGUCAAAAGUGUGUGGGGCGGGGCGCGCAGUAGGCGCCCUAAACGCUGGACUGAACAGAGAAGCUUAAUUGAUACUUAAGAGUGGAAGCUUAGCUACAGUUAAGGACUCCUUCCUCCUUUCAUUCAUUUAAUAAAGAUUUAUUGAUUCAGUCACGUCUAUGCUACUUAAUGAGGCGUCUUGGGAGCAUUUCAAACAAGAAGUCGGUUUUCCACCUACCCCUCAGUUUUCCCAAGACAUUCCUGCGUGAACAGCCACACCUUCCCACCCGCCUUCACCUCUCCUACCCGACUCUGUCUCUGGCUGGAUUGGAUUACAGUGCAGGUAAGGUGGGCUGGGAGGGCUCAGCCUCUUGUCUCCUGCCGCUAGCAUGUGCUGUUUUUGUCUGUUUGUUUGUUUUUUGAGACAGGGUCUUGCUCUGAGGCCCAGGCUGGAGUGCAGUGGAACGAUCUUGCUCAGCCUCCUGGGUCCAAGUGAUUCUCCUGUCUCAGCCUCCCGAGUAGCUGUGACUACAGGCGCGCACCACCGCAUCCGGCUAAUUUUUGCAUUUUUAGUAGAGACCGGGUCUUACCAUGUUGGGCAGGCUGGUCUCGAACUCCUGGCCUCAGGUGAUCCACCUGCCUCGGCUCCCAAAAUGCUGAGAUUACAAGCGUGAGCCGCCAUGCCCAGCUAAUUUUUUUUUUUUUUUUUUGAGACGGAGUCUCGCUCUGUUGCCCAGGCUGGAGUGCAGUGGCACGCCCGGCUAAUUUUCGUACUUUUCGUAGAGACGGGGUUUCACCGUGUUGGUCAGGAUGGUCUUGAUCUCCUGACCUCGUGAUCCGCCCACCUCGGCCUCCCAAAGUGCUGGGAUUACAGGUGUGAGCCACCGCCCCUGGCCACCAUGUGCUGUUUUGCUGCGUGGGAUGUACUGCCUCUCCUGCCCUACUUUGCCCGGCCCAAUCUGGUUCAGGUGUCUCCUCGGCUUACAGGUUUCCACAGUCAAGUGAGGGGCCAGUACUGGGCUCUCACGGUUGCAUUUCCUGUCCUUUCUCAGCCCUGACCUCACUGGACUGUAAUCGGCUCCCUAUCCCUCCCAGUCAGCAGCGGCUCUCAGAUUCAUGGAGUGCUGAGAUCAGCCUGUAGAAAACACAGAUUCCUGGGUCACAAUGGGGCCUGGGUUGAUCCAGUAGGUCUGAGUUGGAGCCCAGGUGUCUGCAUUCUUAUGUGCUCUGGUGGUUCUGAUACAGGUGGUUACAGCCACCACUGGAGAAACCCUGGGCAACAUGAGGACAGGGCCUGGUACAUCCUGAGCCUGGUCCAGACCAGACCUAGAGCAAGUGUCUGAUAAGUGACACGAGCGCCCCUGAGGUGAGUUGAGAAUUACCCAGGAAAUCCCACUGAGAGUGGCUCUUUCUGCGAGUGGCCAGGCCAGUAGAGCGGGGACCGUGAGCUGGCCUGUGUGGCCGGAGAUGAUGGCGACUCAGAACCCACCAAAGAGCCCAGAAGGCCCACUGCCCUGCUGUGCGCACUCCCAGCCUGGGCUCGUCGGGGUCAGCUGGCCUCGGUUUCCUCAGGCACUGUCAUUAUUAGCCUCUGAGAAGCAGGAGGUGUGAGGAGCGGGCCGGGAGCUUCUCAGAAUAGUUCCCUGGGACAGGACAGCCAUCCAUGAUCUGGGCCACAUUGCCGCUCCCAAAUAGGCCUUGGGAGCAAAGUCCAUGAAAUGCAGGCCUGUCAGUGCUGGGAGCCUCCCGAGGGAGGAUGAGGAUGAGGAACUAUGAAAUGAGAGGGAGUUACCCAGGGAGGGUUUUCCUGGCAGAGAGAACAGUGUAAGCCAGUGUCCUGGGGCCCGCGUGUGGCUGGAUGAAGUGGGCAAGAGGGAAAGAAGGGGUAAGGUGGUGGGGAGGAGGCCCACAGGGGCCUGACCACCCGAAACUUUGAGGGCACUGUUAAUGGUGGGGACAGAGGGAAGCUCUGAAGGAUGGGUUUGUUGUUGGGUUUGGUUUGGUUUUCUUGUUUAAAAUAGAACAUUCAGGGCAGGCACCGUGACUAAACCUGUAGUCCCAGCACUUUGAGAGGCCGAGGCGGGAGGAUCGCUUGAGCCCAGGAGUUCAGGACUAGCUGGGCAAUACAGCAAGACUUCAUCUCUACAAAC